GGCCCCAUCGUCUAGCGGCUAGGACGCCGGCCUCUCACGCCGGUAACAGGGGUUCGAUUCCCCUUGGGGCUA
rnacentral:tRNA from 1 species